rnacentral:lncRNA from 1 species
CGAGCGCUCGCCGUGUCUCGCUGCGGUCGAGACAUAUCCCGUCCCCUUCUGGCCGCCUUUUCUUGCAGAGCGGCGGCAGGGUGCGCCUCCGCCUCUCCGGCGGCGCAACGGGUAGCUCAGCCGUUUGGAGGUCACCUCUUCCUAAUUGGACAGGUGCGCUCGCCUUCUGGCCUCCGAUUGUUGGCGCCUCCUCUGCGCACCUUUAAUUCUCCGGUUAUUUGCUCCCGGCUCGCCUGAGCGCCCCCCUCGAUAGUUGUUUGGUGCCAAGAGUUAUUGGGAAUAGAUCUGCUAUUUCUAAAAUAAGAAGGCGUGUGUUGUAUAGAUAUAGCACAAACCUCCCCAGUUCGUCUGCUUAUUGUGAGAUUGGUAGAAAUUUCAGUACUUGGGGUGCUGGUCUGCUGGAGUAACCUCAAAUUUACACUUUUACCGUGCCACUAUGUGGUCUGUACUGCAGCAUAACCGUUUAAUCUCAGGCUCCCCCAUCCCUGACCAAAUUGCAUGGUUCUUAGCCAAUAUCAGUGUUAGCCAGUUGAGCAAACAGACUAACUGACAGAAAGUUUCAGUUCUGAACUGAAAUUGGUGUUCAUUGAAUCGAAAAUCAGAUUCAUCUUCUUCUAAAACAGCCCUUUGUACAACACUAAUGCAACCAUUAUUUGGGUUGCUCUCAUCAUGGCACGCAAUGUUCGCUUUACUGUUUACAGUUGUCUUAUCAGUAGUACUAGGAUCUGGCGGUGUGCGUUGUUCAUCAAACUAAUCUGUUCAGUUCAUGGUUUUAUGAGAUUGGUACUCUGUAGUUAAUGGCCAAUUGCAUUGGAAAUUUUACCAUCUUAUUAGGUUGUUCUAGUUAUCGACCUCCUCCCACCCAGCCAUGACUGAGGUUCUUUCUUAGUCAGGAGGAGCAGUAUUAGCCAGUUGAGAAAUUAGCAGACUCACACAACGACAAUGCACAAGUAACUUGGCAUUUCACAUUGAAAUCACAAAGCAAACUCAUCUUCUUUCUCCUUGGUCUUGCAACGCAAAUACAACCAUUAUUUACAUUGCUUUUAUUAUGGCACACAAUGUAGACUUGCCAACACAACCCAAUCGUUUUAUAUCAACUAAAAUUCAUGGGAUAUCCCUGGAUUGCAAUCAAUACCCCACCACUAUGUUGAGCAAAUUGACAGUAGUGCAACAUCAUCCAAAUACAUGCAUGUUUAGGUGACAGUGACACUGCUGAUGCCUUGUCGCCACUCACGGCCCAUCAGUUCUUUUGCUCUUGCCACAAGAGCAGAGAGAGGCACACUGUGCUCCAUCAGUCCUGCAUCGCCCAAGAAGAACCUGUACUUUUCAGCCCUUGAAGGUGUAUGUUCUACCCGCAGCAGUGCUUCCAUCAUCCAGCAUUUAUUAAAACAGUCAGUGUAGCUAGGAUUGCACUCCAUUAUGUGUAUGGCAUGUUCAACUAUCACCCUCCUGAUUCCCGGACAAUGAGCAGUAGGUGUCAUAUUUGAGUUAAGUGCACAGACAAGUCUGUUUAUAAAUCUUUCUUUAAUCUGACCAUGCUCAAGUUCACGCUCAAAGUCUCCAGGAAUGGCAUGGCAUAUUUGUGAACUAAGGCCAGCAAGGACCUCUAGUUCCGCCCCUUCUGCAUCCAUUAUUCCUUCCAAGACCUAUAAUAGAAAUAGUUAAGUGAUGUAAACAUAUAUAAUAUGGCAAACUUCUGCUGCAUAUGAACCUAUAUAUAUGGUCAGGUGGUAAUCCAAGAUGAUGCCAUGUCGCCAUCUAUUUCUCUAGUUAUGUUAUGUAUAUUUGGCAGUUCAUACUUCUUACUUCUUAUUACUCUCAACAUUGAAAUUACUUAGUUGCAUGACAUAAACUAUAUCAUGAAUGAUGUGCAUGUCCGUGCCAUGAAAUGUCCAUAGUUAGAAAAAAAAUGAAUGCAUGCAAUUUUCUUUAACAAUUUGUGAGAUAGGAAAUGCCGCAACUGUUAAGAUUCAUGCACUAGCCAACGCAACAAAAAAUUUGAACUGAUAUGGAAAGGGUUAGGCAAUCCACAUAUACACUUCAACACCCCCUCUCACGUGCGACGCGGAAAGUCAACACAUGGAUAGACUCAGAGGUAUGGCUCAAGAGGCCUAUACAUGGACAAAGGGAGGCAACGACAAUCUUUUGGAUAAAUUGCGAAAGCCAGGACUCGAACUUAAGACAAUGGGCUCUGAUACCAUGUGUAAGCUUCAUGCACUAGCUAAUGCAACCAAAAGUCUGAACUAGUGAAAGAGCCUAGGCAAUCCACAUAUACACUUCAAUAGCAACAACAGGUGCAACAUCUAAUUUUACUUGUAUUUCAGGGCUCACCUCUCGCAAGAUGUGAGAGAACUCCUUCAGUUCAGAGUUGUUGAACUUAGGUUGAGCAUGCAUGCACAUACUCCGCAACAAGCUUGCUGCUACGUACCUGUACAUGUCCCCAUGGAUCAUAAAUGCGAGCUCCUUGAUGAAUACAUACCCUGGUUCGGCUAACAUAACCAAACAGUUAUUCACACUGUCCAUUGCUAGCACUGCCAGGGCUUGCCCGGCGGACUUUCGUAACUUAUCUGAAUAUGUACUUGAGGCUGCUUCUCGGUUAAGAAAUGCAUGCAUCAACCUGCUAAUGAUCACCCGAAUCUUCCCGAUCUCGUCCCUUGUGUUUGCAUCCAUGGAAAUGUUUCUAAGGAUUUCUGUUGUUAGCUCCCUAAGUUCUUGGCUGCUCCCACUGUCUUCCAAGAUCGCUGCAAGGUUGCUCAAAAGGAAGGGAUGUUCUGAAAUCUCCUGUCGCAAAGUUACCCCAAACUUCCCUUGAGUACUUGCAAGUCUUCUCAGCAGUUUCAACGAUGAACCUUUCAGCAAUGCCUGGUCUAUCUCACUAAUAUUGGUCAUGUCAGUUCUGUUGCUUGUGAAAUCUAUGAUCUUUGAAAUGAGGCCUGUUGAUCUGUUGAUUUCUAUACAGUUCUCAAUAUCAAAGCUAGCAAGAGUGUCAAGAAUUAACAUGCCCAGUACAGGGAGCAGAUCCUGGUCCGUUGAUGGCUCCUCCUCUGGAAUAUGCCAGCAUUUGGUAAUCUGCUUCCAGCAUCUGAGUGUACAUGAGUUUUGUCCAUCCAUGUUAGAUGGCUCCUCCCUUGGAACCAAACAAUAUACUGCCAUCUGUUUCAACCAUUUAAGCAUGGGUGUCCUCUGUUCGUCCAUGGCAACUUGCUGAAUCAGGGUAUCUUGUUCUGCCUCUAGGCUACCAAUGUCUAGGAGAGGAUCCUUUAUUUUCUGCUGGUGAACAGUAUCAAGAAGUGAGGCUAUGAGCUGCAUUGCCCCAGGGACAGAGACAACUCGGAGGCUACCAGCAAGCUCAGCUAUGACCUUCGCGGCAAAUGAUCUAAUAUUUGCAUCCCCUUCACUUGUCCAGCCCAACAUGUUGAAUAAGACAGUUACUGUCUUCGUGGAAGUCGCUAGUUUUGAGAUGGCUUUGGUCUUGAGAGGUUCAUUUUUUAGGAAAAUGUGCAACAUGUGAAGUCCAUAGAGCUGCAUCUUGGGUGAGUCUGACUUUAAAGAAUCCAUUGCAAAUGCGAUGAGGCUGAUCUUCUUUCGGGCAAACACAGCGCCCUCCAUGCAUUUCUCAAAGGCAUAGGCAUAGUACAAAUUGACAUAUUCCACUGCCCGGGGACCUCUGAAUCUAGCACCACGGGCGAGGCAUCUCAGGAGGAUGCAUGAAAAGACAUCAAGGAUGCAGGCAACAAUGUAAAGUAUUCCCUGGCCAAGCACCAUCCCGUAGAAGAUAUUGAGAGAUGGCACGAGGUUUGUCUUGUCCCCAAGGAUUUUCUUGUCAACAUGUUCAUCAUGGCCGUAGUAGCUUUGUGCUUUAAGGCGUACUAAUGCCAGCACGAUGCGCAAUACUGCUGCUGGAAUCUGGAGGUUUCCGAAUGACACUAUUACUACUAGGCCACAUAAUUUUAAUAUGAGAAUCACAAUCCAUCCGACCCCUUCAAAAGUGAACACAAACAUCGCUACUGCAGCUAGCAUGCACAAGUUUAGAAUAACUCGACGCCAAUAUAUUAUUCUGCUGCCGAGAGUCAAGUCUACUAGUUUCAUGAUACCUGGGAAUUGCAGCCUGCUGAUUGUCGCUAGGAGCACGACCACAAAUAGUAUCAGGUACAUUGUCAGCUUGGCGAUUGAGUUUUUGAAACUGAGUUUGUGAAUGUUGAAAUCCUCAUCGAAGCUAUAUGGUACAGAGGGACCAAGCAAUAGGACUGCAACAACUGGGCUCCAUAAUGACAUCGCACGGCAUAGCAGAUUGCAUAUGAGUAGUCGUGCAGCUCCUGGAAACAGAGAUGGGCUAAUCGCAAGCACUGCCAAGGGCAAAGCUGGUAUUUGUAUUGUUGCAUACUUAUUCCAGAUUAGAAUGCACACUAGGACAUUGGAAAAACAUAACACCAAGAUCAUAGCAUUCCAGCUAAGAGACUUGAAAGAACCUCUGGAACGGAAGAACAAUCGAUAAUCCAGGUUAUUGUUGCGGCUGAACAUCCUGAAAUAAAUACAAGAUGGUAUAAUUAAACAAAAAGGCAACAUACAAUCCACAAUGCAAGGAUGACAUAUGCAUGUAUUUAAAAUACAAUAAGAAUUCUGAAAUUACCCGAAUACAGCUCUAGACUUUGAGUGCCAAACAUGUACAACUGGGGACGUAUUGUUUCCAUAUAUAUUUUGUUUGAGUUAGUAUUGAUGGUUUGACAAGACCCUGACAGGGGUAAAUUUACCUAUUCUAAGGCUUGCAGCAACUUUUUGGGUCCUUUGAAAUAGUAAAAAUGACAACUGCUUCAAAAGAAUGUACUGCAAUUAACCUAGAAGAUAUGCUCCAACGGAAAAUUCAUGUUUUAUGCUGGUAUAACUCUUGUUUCUUGAUUGGACUUCGAGCAGUUUAUCUCCAAGGUUUUAAGUAGUUGAUGUCGGGUUGGCAAUGGGUUGACUUUGGUGUAUCUACUAAUAUAGGAUAUCAAGCAAUAUGCCCAAGUACUGGCCAGGAAUGUUGUGAGUGGAGAGUUGGGGAAGUGUUUGUUGGCAAUUUUAGAAAGGAGGCGCUUGCCCGACUUUAACUAACUGAAGCCAUUAAAUCGUUUGCAACAAAUAGUACCAGAAACAAAGAAUGAAAAAUGUUCGAUAUAGACCCAACGGGGCGAAGGCAAGGCUGCCAACAUAACGGGAGGCGUUUGUUGGCAAUUGAUGAGCCCUAAGACCUAAGCAGUCAUCUAGUUCAGGUUGCAUGCAUGUAGCAUCUGAAGGAGAGGAACAUCCUCCUCUUCAGCGACAUAGGAUUUGUGCUGCAGCUAGGGGUGGAAACGGAUCGGAUGCGGAUGGGAUACUGCUCUUCCAACUUCCGUUUUCAUAUUUUCAAAACAAAUACAAAUGCGAAUACGGAUGUUAUUGGAUACGAAUGUGGUGAGGAUGCUACUCGAAUACGGAUACACAUCGGUUGGUUACUCGAUUCGGAACGAAUACGAAUAGUAACGGCAUAUUAGUUAAAUAAAAUAAGUCAAUAGUUAUGUGACAACAAAUAAUCAACUUGCAACAUACAGUAAGUCAAUGAUAGACAGGUUUAUGAAUAAAUAGAAUACUACUGUGAUGCGUAAUAAUUUCUAAGUUUAGUCAUACAAAAAGUAAAGUUUGAGCACUUCUUAGGCUUGUAUGUUGGAUAAUUGGCAUAUUGGGACAAGUAUUUCUCAAAUUAGUUCACGUAAUUUUAUUCAGAUACGGAUAUAUCCAUUUCCAUAUGCAUAUUUGUGUCAAAAUUCCAUACCAUAUUUGUAUUUGAAUUUGCAAAAUAAAUCCGGACACCUUCCAUUUCCAUUUCCAUUCUAGUUCGGAUGCGGAUGUUUCGGAUAUGAAUAGGAAUUUUCUCGAAUACAAAUAUCGGAUAUUUUGAAUUAUCCACUGCCACUUUCAACCCCUGGCCGCAGCCAAUUGUCAGGCAAUAUACAAAACCUAUAAAAUAUCUGUAUUUUGGGCAAUACAUAUAUCGGGACAACUGUACUGGACAUCAGGAACUGUACUCUGCGCAUGCAUGUGGGCUCUUUAGUUUUUGGCUUUGUUCCUCUAAGAGGACAAGCUAAACUAUUUACUGGAUGGAGCUUAUUAAACAUAAAGAUCACUUCCUGGCUUUGUGUAGGUUUGAGAUUGGGAAUGGGGAAAGUGUAAGAUUUUGGGAAGAUAGGUGGAUUAAUAAUAGAGCCCUGAAGGAUGUCUUUCCUAGGCUUUAUAGCAUAUGCUUUGAUAAAAAAAAUCGUUAAAUAUAUAUUUGAUAAAGUUUUGGAUAAUGUUGCCUUCCGAAGAACCCUAUAUGGGGAUUCUUUGGAACUUUGGGACCACAUUAAAGACAGUUGUCGGAGUGUGGUGCUAAAUAAUGAUAGAGAUAAGAUUGUUUGGACCCUGGACAAAAAAGGGAUAUACACUGUUAAAUCUUAUUACAGAUUUCUGAUUGAGAAUAGGGUCAAAUAUCCACAUAACUUCUUAUGGAAGACUAAAAUGCCACCUAGAUUGAAAAUCUUUAUGUGGCUAGUAUUUAGAAACAGUAUUUUGACUAGAGAUAAUUUGAUUCGUAGAGGGUGGGUUGGAGAGAAAACUUUCCCCUUUUGCAUGCAAGAUGAGAGUGUGGACCAUCUGUUUUUUAAGUGUUCUAUGGCAAAAAUGAUGUGGAAUGUUACACAGUUUGCUUUUGACUUGAAACAAGUUUCUGGUAUGGUUGAAACAAUUUAACAAAGAUGAGAAAUCCCUCGUGACUGUAGGGAUUGCAGCUGUCUUCUGGACAAUUUGGAAGCUUAGAAAUAGGGUGGUUUUCGAUAAAAACAGGGUUUAUGAUCCCUGUGUACCAAUGAAUCUGAUGAUCAAGAUGCUUCAUGAUUGGCUUAUAUUGCAGAUAAACCCAAGAAGACGAAGAAUAAUGACGGAGGGCGUAAAAAAAGUUGUACUAUUGGCGGAAGAAAUCUUCAGGGCGGUGCUGGGAUGGAGAGCCGUUCACAGGACUGCGGCGACGUGAUCUUCUGAAGUUUCUUCACACUGGUGAAAGCCUUUGGGAGAUUUAUUCUGUCAUCGAUCUAUACAUGUAGCUCCUGUCUUAUUUCUUCAGUCUGAACUGUUGGGGGUUAUGCUACUAGUUAUCGUUUGUUCUGAACUUGAUGUUCUGGUUGUUUUUGCUUGAGUCGUCCUGGAGAACCCGGCUUGUGAGAUUUCUCAGGGCUGUGCUGGGUGGUUGCGUUUUGCGUUUGUGAAACCUAGUCAGUUUCUUAGAUUGGGUAAAAAUCUGCACUUCAAAGGAGGGAGGCUGUGGGAUUGGCUCUUUUUCAUCUUCAAGGAGUGUGCAUCGUAGGAUUUGCUGCUGUGAUGUAAGUUGGCAAUAGCCUGGUGUCAGUUGUAAGACUUGGUGAUUUCUAAUAAUUGAAAUCAUAGAGGAAACUCUUUCUCAAAAAAAAAAACUAUCUACUGGAUCACCUUUUCUUUUCUUU